rnacentral:lncRNA from 1 species
AAAAAAAAUGAAUUGAACCUGGUUUAAUGGCAUGCCAAAGACCUCACUUUAUGACAAUGUUAAACAAUAUCGCUAAAACACUACGGAACAAAAAUAAACAAGAACAAACACACGCAAAAAUAUUCAUACCAGCUAAACGCACACACAAAUAUUAAAUAUAAUUGUCGACACAACAUGCAAACUGCAGAACAUCGAAGAACAUAUUCAAUCAACGACAAACACCACAGGAAUUCAAAAAUAGUCACGCGC